AAGCCGUGAGAAAUUAGAAAGGACAGAGAGGGAGAGAGAGGACAGUAUAUGUGGUUCGCUGUAGAUUUCAUCGGUUUUUUAAGUUCAUACGAUUCCUGAGAAUGGAAGCACAGGAAAAUUGGUGCUCUCUGUACCCUUUAAUGGCGGAUUGAGGAGAGAGAGAGAGAGAUUUUGAAGUAAUGGAGAGAUGUUGAAAAUGGGGAGUUUUGUGUUCAAUCGUCAUUGUUUGUAGCAGCGUUCUACAAGUAUUGUCGGCUCUUUCUGUUCAUGCUGCAGUGAUCGUCGCUUCCUCUCCGAUCUUGAUGGCGAAAACGGGGGUGUUUGAUUCUGAUCCUACAGUCAUGGGGAAAGCCACGGAGUUGAAGAGGGAGUUACAGAGACUUAUCGAUGCUAUAAUUGAUGAUGAUAAUUGCUCUACCGACACCAUCGAUCAUGCUAAAGAGAUUAUUUCUGCGCUCAAGGAGUUGAAACUUAGGAAGAGAUCACGCUCUUCUAAUCGUUACGAGAAUCUCAUUUGCCCUGAUGAAUUUCGUUGUCCGCUUUCUAGGGAGCUCAUGAGAGAUCCUGUCGUUGUGUCUACUGGCGAGACAUAUGACAGACCCUUCAUUCAUAAAUGGUUAAGAUCAGGAAACCGAACAUGUCCGAGAACUCAGCAAGUUCUUUCGCACACGAACCUCACUCCCAAUCACUUGAUUCGUGAAAUUAUAUCUCAGUGGUGUACCAGUAGGGGAAUUGAGUUGCAAGAUCGUGUCCGUGUCCACUGUCUUGAUGAUGAUGUGAUAACUGAGGCUGAUAGAGACCGUUUUCUCACACUAAUAGAGAAUAUGUCUAUGACAAUAUCUGAACAGAAAGCAGCUGCUAAGGAGCUUCGUAUGUUGACGAAGAGAAUGCCCUCAUUUCGAGCGCUUUUUGGCGAGUCCCUUGAUGCCAUCUCUUUGUUGCUUAGUCCACUUUGUGGAGAUAAGUCACAAAGUAGUGUUCACGCGGAUCUGCAAGAGGAUGUGAUCACAACCCUCUUGAAUCUGUCGAUCCAUGACAACAACAAGAAGCUUGUAGCUGAAACUCCCAAUGUAAUACCGCUUCUAAAGGAAGCAUUGAGGUCAGGAACCAUGGAAACGAGGAGCAAUGCAGCUGCAGCCCUAUUUACUCUGUCAGCUCUUGAUUCGAACAAAGCACUCAUUGGAAAAUCUGGUGCCUUGAAGCCCCUUAUUGACCUUUUAGACGAGGGGCAUCCUUUAUCUAUCAAGGAUGCUGCUUCAGCCAUAUUUAAUCUUUGUAUACUUCAUGAAAAUAAAGCAAGAGCUGUGCGAGAUGGUGCAGUUCGAGUGCUUCUGAAAAAGAUUAUGAACCAAAUGCAUGUUGAUGAACUGUUGGCUAUUCUUGCCAUGCUUUCAAGCCAUCAAAAGGCCGUCGAAGAAAUCGGAGAGCUUGGAGCUGUCCCUUCCUUAUUCAGAAUUAUCAGGGAAAGUUCUUGUUCUCGUAACAAGGAGAAUUGCAUUGUGAUCAUCCAUGCUAUCUGCUUAUAUGAUCGAACCAAGUGGAAGGAUAUGAAGGAGGAGGAGAAAUGGUAUCGAACGAUCUCCGAACUCGCUAAGAAUGGGACUUCAAGGGCCAAGAGAAAGGCCAGUGGCAUACUUGAAAGACUAAACAGGGCAGUUAAUAUGACCCAUACCGCGUAAUGAAAUUCUCGGCGUUAAAAACUUGUAGAUUCUGCCUCUAAACCCGGUACUCUCGUCUUUUCUAAGACUCGGUCAUCUGUUUGGGUAAUCUUCGAUCUUCUUUUUUUGUAUAUUCUCUUAUCCUGUGGAGUCUAAUUUCGAUUUCUCUUCCAGGUUCAUCAGUUAGUCACUGUGAAUAAAUAUGAUGUGUUAAAUUUUCUGGAUAUAAAUCAACAUUUUGGAGAGAGAAAUCCAAAGAAGAGAAGGGUCUACCAUGUGGCACAUAAUAACAAGGUAUGGGGUUUGGCUGCAUCCAAAGAACAUAGCAUUAUGUUGAUAUUAAUCCAUCUCAUUACACAACAA